UACGGAGGGUGCAAGCGUUAUUCGGAUUUACUGGGCGUAAAGCGCGUGUAGGCGGUUUGGUAAGUUUGGUGUGAAAUCCCCGGACUUAAUUCGGGAAGUGCAUUGAAUACUGCCAGACUGGAGUACAGGAGAGGAGAGUGGAAUUUCUGGUGUAGAGGUGAAAUUCGUAGAUAUCAGAAGGAACAACAGAGGCGAAGGCGACUCUCUGGACUGUCACUGACGCUAAGGCGCGAAAGCGUGGGGAGCAAACAGG
rnacentral:rRNA from 1 species